AGGUAGAGCUCAGAGGUAAAGCAAGUGCUUAGCAUGCACGAGGUUCUGGGUUCAAUCCCCAGUACCU
rnacentral:tRNA from 1 species